rnacentral:rRNA from 1 species
CAGCAGCCACGGGAAUACGGAGGGGGCUAGCGUUGUUCGGAAUUACUGGGCGUAAAGCGCACGUAGGCGGCUUGGUAAGUUAGAGGUGAAAGCCCGGAGCUCAACUCCGGAAUUGCCUUUAAGACUGCCGAGCUAGUAGGUGAGAGAGGUAAGUGGAAUUCCGAGUGUAGAGGUGAAAUUCGUAGAUAUUCGGAAGAACACCAGUGGCGAAGGCGGCUCACUGGCUCGGUAUUGACGCUGAGGUGCGAAAGCGUGGGGAGCAAACAGGACUAGAUACCCCCGUAGUCCAUGUCUCUUAUAC